GAUGAGUUUUGGGAUUACUGAUGAUUUCAUUAUGGCCAGUGUUGCUGCUAACUGUGGCAGGGACCUGCUGUUGUUGACAGGAUAAUGGAUUGGGUGCCUGGGGAUGAAUCUCUUCACCUUGGCAAAAAGAGAAACAGAGGGGACACAGAGGACUACUGGACCCCUGAACAGUCUUGCUGACGGUUUAGCUGGACAGAGCCGGGUGAGACUGUCAAACCUUGCCGAUCUGAGCCGAGAGAGAAGCGCAGGGGAGCGUCAGUCCUCCGUCCCGCAGAAGAGCCAAGCCGAGCCAAGCUGAGCCCUCCCUGCACUGAAGCCAUCGCAUUCAGCCAAGAUUGCUUCAUACAAAAGUUGACAAUGCCCUAGUGAAAGCCAUUGUUGAUAUUCAACAUUUUUUAAAUAGCUGAGCAGAAUGGACAACAUGGCAGACUACAAAACUUGGAGGGGAAACUGACCUGGAGCUCCUGAAAAGCACCACUGAAUGUGAAAGAGAAACAGCACAGAGAAUCUGAAAUAAAGCAAAACAGAUUGAUGCUUUUGAAGCCC
rnacentral:lncRNA from 1 species